UCUCGCACCCUCAAAACCCUCGCGGUCUCGAGCCAUUGUUCCCUGGUUAUCGCCUCCCGGAAUCCAUCGUCAAGAAAGCAUGAGUAGCCGCGGAAGCAACCGAACCAUUUAUGUUGGGAACCUCCCGGGUGAUAUCCGUGAGAGGGAAGUUGAGGAUUUGUUUCACAAGUAUGGACCCAUUGUUGAUAUUGAUCUCAAGGUUCCACCAAGGCCUCCAGGUUAUGCAUUCAUUGAGUUUGAAGAGGCACGGGAUGCUCAAGAUGCCAUUCGUGGUCGGGAUGGCUAUAACUUUGAUGGUCACAGAUUGCGGGUGGAAGUUGCACAUGGUGGAAGAGGACACUCUUCUUCAAUUGACCGCCAUAGCUAUAGAGGUGGUGGGGGUGGCCGAGGUGGUGUUUCUAGGCGCUCAGAAUAUCGUGUUAGGGUUACGGGGCUUCCGUCCUCAGCUUCAUGGCAAGACCUAAAGGACCAUAUGCGUUUAGCUGGUGAUGUUUGCUUCUCCCAAGUUUUUAGUGAGUCUGGAGGCACUGUAGGAAUUGUUGAUUACACAAACUAUGAUGAUAUGAAAUAUGCGAUCAGGAAACUUGAUGACUCUGAGUUCCGUAAUGCAUUUUCUCGGGCAUAUAUCAGAGUUAAGGAGUACAAACAAAGUUUAUCCAGGAGCCGCAGUCGCAGCCGUUCCUACUCAAGAAGUCGAAGUCGUAGUAACAGCCGCAGCCGCAGUCGCAGUCGCAGUCAGAGCAAAUCUCCAAAAGCUAAGUCGGCACGUCGGUCUAAAUCUCGUUCUAGAUCUGUUGCUUCACGUUCCCGUUCAGGGUCAAGGGGACCGUCAUUGUCAGGAUAAGGGCUUAUGCGGCGAUCUGGGGAUUGCAUUUUAGGAACUUGAUCAGGAUACAAUGGAAAUGGAUAGAGCUCCUUGGUUGUGUGAGGUAUGCUGUUUCACAAAUGAGCAGCUUUGGAAACCAAAACUUACCAUGAUUGUCAUACCUUUGUGUAUUACGCCUAAUCCCAAUAGGAGCGGAAUGAGAGAAAAAUAGAAGGGAUGGAUUGCUUUUAAAGCGCUGGAUAACAGUGAACUAAGUGGAAUUGGAAUGCGCAAGUCAGCGAUAGGGGAAUUUCACCUUGCUAAUAGGCAUUGCUCCCAGGAGAGUUGUGAUGUGGAAUUAAAUGGUACAGUUAGAGAUAACUUCAAUAUGGAUAACUUCUGCACCUUAAGUUUAUUUGCAUUAGCCACAGCUUCAUUUACAUGAUAUACUUGUCACUAUUUCUUCUUUUGAAUAUUGGCCCUUGGUAGCUGUUCAAAUUUUAGAAAUUACUACCAAUUCAUUCUGUUUUAAAACAAUGGUGUUGCUGAACUUUUAUGGUUUCACAUUUGUGCUUUCCUCUGCGGUUAUAUCCAACGUGGAAGUGGCCUCGGUGCUUUUGGAUCAAGGCGUUAAAAGCCAAAGUUGUGGAUUAUUGAAUUCUCUUGUUUCUGGAACUUUUUUUGCAGAUCCCGAUCCCGAUCCAGAUCUCCUGUUGCUUCCCCCCCUCGCAACAAACGACCCAGCAAGAGCCCUGCUCGGAGCAAGAGCCGAUCACUCUCUAGAUCCCCUGCUGCGAAACCUGAGGGCAGUCAAGAAAUUGGUACCGCAGAGAAUU